rnacentral:rRNA from 1 species
GAUGAACGCCGGCGGUAUGCCUAACACAUGCAAGUCGAACGGAGUUCUUCGGAACUUAGUGGCGGACGGGUGAGUAACACGUGAGAACCUACCUUCAGAAUGGGGACAACAGUUGGAAACGACUGCUAAUACCCAAUGUGCAGAAAGGUGAAAGAUUUAUCGUCUGAAGAUGGGCUCGCGGCUGAUUAGCUAGUUGGUAGUGUAAAGGACUACCAAGGCGACGAUCAGUAGCUGGUCUGAGAGGAUGAGCAGCCACACUGGAACUGAGAAACGGUCCAGACUCCUACGGGAGGCAGCAGUGGGGAAUUUUCCGCAAUGGGCGAAAGCCUGACGGAGCAAUACCGCGUGAGGGAGGAAGGUUCUUGGAUUGUAAACCUCUUUUAUCAGGGAAGAAGUACUGACGGUACCUGAUGAAUAAGCAUCGGCUAACUCCGUGCCAGCCGCCGCGGUAAAAC